CUGUCAGCUCCACAUUCAUGUAUUUUUGGUGUUGCUGUGGAUCUCAAUUGGAAGCAACUCCUUGCGCCAAUAUGUACCGCCAAUUGUAAUGUUUAUUUAUCUGGAGGAGAGAGUUAUUUUACAAGCAGUAACAAAGAAAGAUAAAUAUGAUCUGAGACUUGAUGAUCAGCAGCAUCUGUUGUUAUAGAGGUCUGAAACGCCAUGAUACAGCCAACGCGACGCCAAGAUAGCAGUGAGCCAGCAGUGACAUCUAGAGGCGGAAGCGGGAACUCAAACCAACGCACUUCCACCAUCCCAUCUAGUCUCAUAAUACCUCGUCAUGGCUGAACCAUAUCCACGAUGACUCCGGCCAUAUGGAAGGUAGAUAAAGUUAGGCCAGAGGGAAGCCAUGCUUUUGUAGCGAACACAGGAGCCCUGGUGUCCUGCCGUGCGGUCUCCCUCCCUCACACCUCUUCAAUCUUUCACUCC
ensembl:lncRNA